rnacentral:rRNA from 1 species
GACAGAGGGUGCAAACGUUGUUCGGAAUUACUGGGCGUAAAGCGCGUGUAGGCGGCAAGGCAAGUCGGAUGUGAAAGCCCGCGGCUCAACCGUGGAAGUGCACUCGAAACUGCCUAGCUAGAGUCUCGUAGAGGAAGGUGGAAUGCUUGGUGUAGAGGUGAAAUUCGUAGAUAUCAAGCAGAACACCUGUGGCGAAGGCGGCCUUCUGGACGAUUACUGACGCUGAGACGCGAAAGCGUGGGGAGCAAACAGG